AAGAGCAAUUUUGAUAUUUCAAUAAUGAUAUUCUGAGUACAAGAAGAGAUAUAAAUACUAUGGGUCUAGCUAGCUAUAGCUGUCUAGCCUAACCAACUCGUACUAACAUGGACAUCUGUCCUUAAUUAGGCAUAUAACUGUUUUAGGGAAAUAAGACUAAAGAAGCAAAAGUGCAAUAAAGAUAAAUAGGUUGCUAUUUACUGAGUCCAGCUCAAAACGAUUAAUUAAGUAAAUCCGGUCCAACAGCGAUUCAGAAUUUAGGAGGCCCAAGUCACAGUUGUGACAUCCCAUCCCUCUUCCGAAAAAUACCCUUCACCGGUGAUUUUUGAUCAGAUUCCAGGAACUAGAAUAUCAGAAAUGCAUAGUCCUCCCACGUUGCUUCUUCUUUUGACAAAUUAGCCUAUUGGACCAGAACUUGGGUCACUGCUUUGUUUCCUCUCUUUACUAUCUUCCUUUCUAAAAUUGUAAGAGGUUCAACCAGUAUUCGACCGUUGUCGGAGCAAAAAAGGGGUUCCUUUGAUGGUAGAACUCGAUUUCCCAGUUGCUUCUAGAGCUGGAAAACUGGAAACACUCGAUGAAUUUUGGAACUUGUUGGUAAUUUGAGUUCGUAGACAACGGCCCCAAUUUUUCUUAUUACUUCAUAAGGACCAUAGAAUUUUGCUGAUAAUUUUAAAUUCCUUCAAACUACCACUGAAACUUGUCUGUAUGGUUGCAAUUUUAGGAACACCUGGUCGCCAACUUCAAAAACUCUCUUACUCCUUUUUGAGUCAGCGUAGUGCUUCAUCCGAUUUUGAGUCUUAGAAAGAUUUCCUUUAGAGCCUUGUAAAUAAUUUACCUUUCGUUUAUCAAUUGAUCUACUGAAUCUUACUUCGAUUGAGCUGCUAAUUCGAAGGUCGGCAAAGGAGGGUCAUAUCCGCAUAAGGCUUUGAAUGAGGUCAUCCCACUUGCGGAUUGGAAAUUGGUGUUAUACCAAAAUUCAGCUAAGGGAAUCCACUUGCUCCAUUCUUUGGGUUUAUGACUAGUCAUGCCACGUAGGCCUUUGAAGAGUUCUUUCCCCAACAAGCUCGUGAAGAUUGAAUCUCGGUCAGAAAAAAUGGAACUUGGUACUCCAUGGAACUUACAGAUAUUAUCCAAAAAUACUUGUUCCGCUAUUGUUGCCUUGUAAGGGUGAGUAAAGUAAACAAAUGGGCAUACUUAGUGUACCUAUCAAUGAUCACUAAAAUAGUGUCUUUCCCA